rnacentral:rRNA from 1 species
GGGGGGGGGGGGGGGGGGGGGGGGGGGGGGGGGGGCGGGGGGGCGGGCCCUGCUUUUGUGGGGUGCGCGGGUGGCGAACGGGGUGUUGCCCCGGGAGUCGCCUGCCCUUGACUUUGGUUUUACUUCCGGGAACGGGGGCUCAUACCGGAUCGUAGCUCCUGCUGCAUGUGGGGGGUUGGACAGUUUCGGCGGUUGUGGCUGGCCUCGAGGCUUAUCAGCUUGUUGGUGGGGUAGUGGCAUAACAAGGCUUUGCCGGGUAGCCGGCAUGAGAGGGGGAACGGCGACAUGGGGACUGAGAGACGGCACAGACUCCUACGGGAGGCAGCAGGGGGGAAUAUUGCACAAUGGGCGGAAGCCUGAUGCAGAAACGCCGCGUGCGGGAUGACGGCCUUCGGGUUGUAAACCGAUGUCGCAUGUGACGAAGCGUGAGUGACGGUAAUGGGUAAAGAAGCACCGGCUAACUACGUG